rnacentral:rRNA from 1 species
CACGGGGGGAGCAAGCGUUGUUCGGAAUCACUGGGCGUAAAGGGCGUGUAGGCGGUUCGGUAAGUGGAAUGGGAAAUGCUCCGGCUCACCCGGAGUACUGCAUCCCAAACUGCCGAGCUUGAGUAUGGGAGAGGAUGAGGGAAUUCCUGGUGUAGCGGUGAAAUGCGUAGAUAUCGAGAGGAACACCAGUGGCGAAGGCGAGUCCCUGGACAACACCUGACACUGAGGCACGAAGGCCAGGGGAGCAAACGGG